CGUCCCGGAAGGUGAGAGGCGGGGUGAGGUCUGGCAGUCGCCUCUGCACCCGUAGCUGCGAGCCGCCCACCUUAAACCCGGGUCUGGGACCUCGGAGAGUCAGCCCGCCGCCCCGAGCGCUCACCAGGUGUCUGAUGCAUGUCUCCGAAUAAUAUUUUCAUGAAGAAUACAUGAAUGCUCUAUUUCCUGAGACUUUGAAUAUAUGGGGUUGUUCAUCUGUUGUCAUCACAUAAGAAGAAAAAAAUUUAGCUGAGAAAAUUCUUAGGUCAUAGUCUUUUCCUUCAAAAAAUUUAAAAAAUUU